rnacentral:tRNA from 1 species
GUUUCCGUAGUGUAGUGGUCAUCACGUUUGCCUCACAUGUAAAAGGUCCCCAGUUCAAAACUGGGCGGAAACA